rnacentral:tRNA from 1 species
UAGCUCAGUUGGUAGAGCAUUAGCUUCCCAAGCUGAGGGUCGCGGGUUCGAGUCCCG